UAUCUAGUUUUUAGCUUUGUUCAUGCCUGUUGUUACUAUUCAGAGAUGCUGGAUUUGUAGAAAACUCAAGCAACAAAGACUUUCCAGCUCUCCUGAAAUGGUCUGCUGUCUAAUUCCUUGCAUCGCCUCAAGGAGUUCUACUCAGUUGAUGAAACUUAAUUUCUGACUUGUUCAGCACACAAAGAAAAACGUUUUGAAAAACACCAAGAAAAUUCAUUUUAAGAAAACUGUUUUAAAUGCAAUUUUAGAAGAAAUCUGAGAGUUGUUAUUUCUUAAGGAAUGUUUGUGCUUCUAUCUUGUAUUUUUUGUAUAUUGAGCUGUUAUUUAAACAGGAGAUCCUGUAUAUUUAUAGUGUAAAUUCUGACUGUUGUAAUAGGUUUGUUGUUGCUGUAGUAAAGGGUAUGUGUGUUUAUGUACUAUAAAUAGUACCUUUAAUUAAAGGUAUAAUUUUAAUCCUAGCUGUGGCCUUGACCAGUAGUUACAUCACCUGCAGUUGAAACUCCAUUAAAAUCAAUGGGAAAGACAUUAAUUAGUGUGAAUUCUUAGGUCUGAUAGACUUCAUGAAAUGUCUGUCUUAGCUUUUCUGCUUGUAAACGAGAAAAUAUUUAAACUUGUGCUCCCCUUUUUAAAUUUGGUAUUUUAAAGCAAAUUUUAAAGAUUGUCAAAUUAAAUGAUGUAGCUUGUUGUUUGAAUAUAUGCUGCCUUUGCUGUGUAUUCUGAUUCUGACCCUGAUUCUGAAAAAGCUAUUGAAGGUUCAUCUGAUCUGGAUUACGAUGGUGGCUGGGGUAAAAGUCAGGUUGCUUUUUGCAUAGUAGUGAUUUAUGGUUUUAAGGUGAUAAUAAUUCUUUUUAGUAGUUCAUUCUAUGCUGGCUGUACUCAAUCGACUUGGAUUUCAUAGAUUUUUUUUUUGUAUUUUUUUGUUUUCUUAAAGGCCCUCAUAUGUUAACAAAACAAGGCUGAGGAUGCCCCAGCCCCCCAGUUGGACUGGCAUAUGUAGGAAAAGAAAGUUGUUCAAGGUUGAGUAGGUUCUGAUAAGACCCAUUUAUCUGUGCUAGAACCAAUUGUGAGAACUCCUGGCUCAUGGCACGAAGAGCCAGCUGCCCACCCUCAAAGGUCAGGCUGGCACACGACUGCAAAAUUCUCUGUGCACAGUGAAAUAGAGGCAU
rnacentral:lncRNA from 1 species